rnacentral:misc_RNA from 1 species
GAUGAAGAACGUAGCGAAAUGCGAUAAGUAAUGUGAAUUGCAGAAUUCAGUGAAUCAUCGAAUCUUUGAACGCACAUUGCGCCCGUCAGUAUUCUGGCGGGCAUGCCUGUUCGAGCGUCAUUACGCCCCUCAAGUCCCCUGUGGACUUGGUGUUGGGGAUCGGCGAGGCUGGUUUUCCAGCACAGUCGUCCCUUAAAUUAAUUGGCGGUCUCGCCGUGGCCCUCCUCUGCGCAGUAGUAAAACACUCGCAACAGGAGCCCGGCGCGGUCCACUGCCGUAAAACCCCCCAACUUUUUAUAGUUGACCUCGAAUCAGGUAGGACUACCCGCUGAACUUAAGCAUAUCAAUAAGCGGAGGA